rnacentral:rRNA from 1 species
UUUAACCUACGGGGCGCAGCAGUGAGGAAUAUUGGUCAAUGGGCGAGAGCCUGAACCAGCCAAGCCGCGUGAAGGACGAAGGUGCCAAGCAUUGUAAACUUCUUUUGUCAAGGGACAAAAUCAGGCUCGAGAGCCUGACCGAGGGUACUUGAAGAAAAAGCAUCGGCUAACUCCGUGCCAGCAGCCGCGGUAAUACGGAGGAUGCGAGCGUUAUCCGGAUUUAUUGGGUUUAAAGGGUGCGUAGGCGGACUGUUAAGUCAGCGGUAAAAGCCCGGGGCUCAACCCCGGCGAGCCGUUGAAACUGG